rnacentral:lncRNA from 1 species
AGUAACUAUUUUAUCAAAAAAACUCUAUUGCGUCACCCCAACGGCAUCAAGUCUACAAAGAUAAAUAUUGGUCGAGCAUCCAAACUUCGGAAUAAGCCUCCUCCCACUUUAAGGACCCUCUUUCUCUUCCCAUGGCUUCUCUUCUUUUUAAGUAUGCAUUAAAAGAAGAGAGAGAAAGAGAAAAGGAGAAAAGAUCUCCCAGA